rnacentral:lncRNA from 1 species
AGCCAAUUGCACGUUAUUCUGAUUGCAAUCAUUUCCAUUGAAGUGUGACUUAUGGUUGUUGCUUCGUGACCAUCGGUAUUACCUGUGGGUACUAGUGUACUUCUUGCUGUCCACUGAAUCAUGUUUAUUCUUGUGUAUGUGAGUCAUUUUUAUUUUUUCCCUUAUUCUUCAGGCUAUUUAUAUUUUGUAUCAUUAAUCAAAUGAAAACAAUAUGAUGCUAUUUUAGGAAUAACUCAUAGGAAGCCCAGAGUAUCUAGUAUUAAAAUUUUGAUUGAAUUUGGACAAUAUGAUGAUGAUAAAUGCUUAAUUUUCUGACCAGGUGUUGUUAACAGGAAAAAAUAGCUAAGGCAUAUUGACUCUUAAAGCUUAAUGAUUGUUGGGAAAAAUAGGGACUCUGAAAUAAAUGCUGCUCACUGAAUUCUUUUCUUCAAUUAUUGUGUCAAUCAAAAUUCUAUCAUAUUUUGCUAAGAUGUUCUUAAUGAUAUCACUGAUAAAUAGCAGUGAGCUAGGCCUACACUUUGGGGUUUACUGAAAUCUUUGAAAUUGGGUCCUCGUACUCCAAGUGGCAAUACUUCUUUGUUUUCCAUCACAAUAACUUUACUGGUAUUGUGAUCUGGAUGUCAGCUAAAUCUGGAAACCAACCAUAAAAACAACAAAAUAAUCACUAGAACUCACUUCCUCUUUUGUUUCUUCACCAGUUUCAUUAUGCAUCUGAUUCAAAAGACUGCUACAGAAAACAGCUGCCUGUUGUGAAAAAGAACCUGUGGAUCUCUGAAAAUAUCAUUGAGAUCAGAAAAAGGCAAAUUAAAAUAGAAGAGGGAGAAUUUGGUGGGCAAGUUAGUGUUAGAAACAUGGUAAAAAGCAAGACAGUUGGAGAGAUAAAAAGAACAACAGAAAUGUAGGGCAC